AUAGCCGUGGUCGGGGAGCAGAGCGCGGCCGGUAAGCGCGAUCAGCUGUCUUGGUUCGAGUCCAAGCCGCUGUUC
rnacentral:tRNA from 1 species